CGGCGAUUAUAAAAUCGGAUAUGCACAUAUAAACGCCUGAAUGUGAAGAGUGGGAAUACCACAGGAUAUUCACAGGAUUGCGGCAUAAGACAUAAAGAUGAAAUAAUAAAUGUGCUUUGAUCUUUGUGGAAAACUAAGACUCAAAUAAUUUAAUGAAGAAGUACUUAUAAACCAUAUUGACUUAUUCCUUUGAUUGGAGGGUUACACAGAAAAUUCUCUAUCUUCAUAAAUAAUCCUAAAACCUGAUUCUAUUCUGUGAAUCUUGCGAUAUUAAGUGGACACAUGCGAGUUCUACCUGCUAAAGAUGUAAUUCCAGCUAUCAAACUUUAAAUAAGGAGCCUCUUCCCAG